rnacentral:antisense_RNA from 1 species
CUUCACCGACCCCAGCCACAGCGGGUCGCCCUCGCCGCGGUCCUGACCGUAGGUGGCCAGCAGCGCCUGCGCCUC